UUAUAUCUAGCUGCUGCUUCCUCUGGUACAAUUGCUGCUUCCUCUGGUACAAUAGAUUUUUUGUAUGUAUCACCUUGGUAGAUUUUUAUUUCCGACUCGAAAUCAAGGAAAAAUAUCAAAGAAUAUUGCUCCCAGCAUCCCGGCCCUCUAUUCCAGAGGGCAUUUUAUUGCUGGUGCAGGUAUGAGGAAGACCAUCCUUCCAUUAGAUGGAGGGAUGGCGUCCCAUACAGCACCAAGGAAAUAGGGGAUGCUGGGAGGAGAGGGCGUGGCGCAACAGUUGUAAAUUAUUUCUUCACAUUUUAGAUUUACAAUUCUUAGGCCACAGUUUUUUUUUUUGUAAUUUAUUUUUUAAAUAUAAUUUUGUGUUGUUUUUUAAUUUUUUCCAUUAAUUUUAAUGCCAUCAAGUUAAUUAAAUGAUUUAAAUAAAGACACUUUUUUUAAAAUGUUUUUUAAAGGUUUAUGUAUGUUUUUAUAAGUGUGUGCAGUUAGUAGUUUAAAUAUGUUUAAUAAACUCAGGAUAAC